GUUGUUGCAGCUGCCCUAGGGAGUGGCUAACUCACCGGUCCUGCUGGCUGGGGCCCUGGGGCUGUGGUGGGGCCUGGCUGAGGUUUCCCCGCUGGUUGGCUGGCAGCAGGGGCUGUGCCCCGGGUGGUUGGCUGGCUCUGAGGCUGUAGCCGAGCCUGGGAUGGAGCCUGCUGGGGGGCUUGUUGCCCAAGACCCUGCUGUUGCUGCUGCUGCUGUUGCUGCUGUUGUGUCUGUGGCUGACGUGAUGCUGUGCCCGAGGGUGUCUGCCUGGAUGAUGGUGGCUGCGACUGCUGCGGUCCUGGAGCCGCCUGCCGACCUUGCAUCUGUGGCUGAGCCUGGGUGUCUGCCUUUGGCUGCAGUGCAGAAGGCCCAGUGUGGGCCUGCCGGGAGCCCUUUUUGCUCUCAGAGGCAUGGUGGUAUGCUGACGGAGCCCGGGACGACUGUGAAUAAUCAGCAGAGCUGGGGUACCCGGGCUGACCCUUCUUCUGCAUGGCAGGGGCAGGGCUGGCCUGAGGGUGAGGUCGGGCCUCGUGGCGACCCAUGUCCCGAGCGUGCGGUUUGGCAGCCCGCCGUCCUGGCUCCUCACCAGCGUGGCGGCCUGAGUGCCUCCCGUGGUCACUGUGGUGCCGGUGUUCCUUGGCUGAGGUAUGCCGGCCUGGACCACCCUCAUCAUGAGGCCAUAGGCCCUCCUCCGCACUCUUAAGGGGCCGUCCAGAACUGGGCGUGGUGGAACUGCCCGAAGGGGUCUCAGUCGUUGUCUUCCUCGGCACUCAUUUCUAGGAUCUGUCGCCGCAUGAAUUCUUCAUCAGUCAUGUCUGCCCGGGCUGGGGGCUGAGGUGGGAGGGGAGACAAGCCGCCUUCGCUGCUGUCUUCCACGUAGUCAUGCCUCAGCUGGCUGCCAAAGUCAUCUGAAGACUCAGCUGUGUCCUGCUGUUCCCUCUGACGUCCCCAUGCCAAGGAGUCGUCCUCCUCUAGAAUGUCCCCCAGUUCCUCAUCCGAGUCGAAGGCCUCGGGCGUGAUGGACAGGGAGUGAGGACGCCGUUUCUGGUCUUCAACCGCACUGCUGCUGCUGCGGGGUGGCUUGCUCCAUUCCGCACUGGGAGCUACAGCCUGGGCCUCCAGUGAAGGGCGCAAGCUACUACCCACUUUGUGGAGCUCCGAGGGGCUGGGUGGACGUGGGCCUGUCACCCCUGCACUGUCAAGCUGUUCCACUUCUUGCUGUACAACACCUGUGAUCUCGCUCUGGGAGCUGGAGACACCGUCGGAGGAGUAGCCUGUGUCACUGAGGCUCUGUGGGCUUCGAGACAGGUCCUGAGAAUAAGGCUUGGGGACUGGUUCCUGCAUAGGGUAAAAAGCAGGCAUUUACUCCUGAUCUCCUGUCAAUCCCAAGGACCACGGGAAGGGGCCCUCCACACCCUAGGGGCUAUCUCUCUGGCCCCACAUAACUUACAGACUUCACAGCAAGAGAAACUUUACUAGAUGAAUGUGUGGGAGACCAGCAAAGUGGCAGACACAGGACGUGUCUCCAUCCCACAGACUCCAGACCAGCUGAACUUCAUUUGUUGUUUGUUGUUGUUGUUUUGUGACAGGGUCUCUCUACAGAGCCUUGGCUGUCCUAGAACUCACCAGGUAGACUAGGCUAGCCUUGAACUCACAAAGAUCUGACUGCCUCUGCCUCCAAAGUGUUGGGACUAAAGGAGUGUGCCAUCAUCCCAGUGAUCUACUGAAACUUAAUCUAGACCCUCUUUCAACUAGGGUGUCUCUGUGACCCCAAUAGAUCUGUCUUAGGCCUACAUUGUUAGCCCUUCCUCAGACUAUCUCACCUGAAAGCUAGGACCCUUGGUAAUGAAAUAGAACUGACCUCAGCCUCCCCACCCUUGGGAGCUUCUGGAACAGGCUUGACAACUGGGGUGGCAGGGUCAGUCCUCUUCACCCCACUUUUUGCUUUAGGAGUCCCAGGAGGCACAGUAGUCUCUGGAGGUGGCUUCGGCACAGGCUCAGCUUUAGCAGAGGUCACUGUCUUCUUUUCCUGGGCGCUGCUAGAGGUCUUGCUGGGUUCAGUAGCCCUGAGAGGCUUGGCCUGAGGGCUGGCCUUGGUGGUCUGAGGGCUGGCCUUGGUGGCCUGAGGGCUGGCCUUGGUGGCCUGAGGGCUGGCCUUGGUGGCCUGGGGGCUGGCCUUGGCAGGCAGGGAGCCUGAGGGCUGGCCCAGCCCCUGUGGCCCUUUCUGCUUCAGAGGGGCUGCUCCAGCUGCUCGGUGAGGGACUCCUGCAGGAGGCUGCUGUGGGGUGGGCAGAGGCAGGGGGGCUGGCUCCCCCAAGCUGCCCUCCAGCAGCCGCUUAGUUUGGCAGUUCAGACAGAGCCACUCUGUUUUCUGUAAGGAAACAGGAGGGAGGUUCGUGAAAAACCACAGACCCAGGAGCAAGCAGAGAGUAUUUCCAUCAUUCUCCCUAACCUUAGGGAGGAGUCAGACCUCACUCUUGGUAGAUGGAACCCAGAGCGAGCCCUGCACCAUGUAGACACAUACUGUAGCGCUGAGCCAUCCCCAGCCUGAGAAAGUCUUUCAGAACAGGAUACCAAAGGCAUAAAGAGAAAAAAACUGACAGGUAUAUUGCUCCCAAAUUAUAAACUUCUCAGGGACAUAUACAAAAUCAAAAUGCAAAUGCAAAGGUAAGAAGAAAGUUUUCUUCUUAACCCAUAGAGAAAUUUUCACUGGGCCAGAAAAGGAAGAUAAUUAAGAGGGAGAGGAGACCAGAAAAAUUACAGAGGCUUGGGAUGAAACACAGGGGGAAGCCAGGGCCCCAACCCCAAGGACUGAAUUACAAUUCAGGGGCUGUAUGGGGAGAAGUCCUGCAAAACACGAAUGCAUUCAGAGAGAGAGAGAGAGAGAGAGAGAGAGAGAAUAUGUAAAAUAUCCUAGAGGCCCUGGCCCUGGCCCUGGCUCCUAGUUCUGGGGUCUGAUAGUACCCUGCCAUUUCCUUCCCCAAGUAAGGCCUAUGCUCAGCUUGGGCAAACUCCAAGCUCUUGAUCCUUCGCCUGCUUGCUGUGUGAGACUGAGUAACUGAUAGAUCCUUGGACUUCCAUUCACAGCUGCGACUGAACCAUUGUUGGGAAUUGGGCUGCCGACUGUAAGUCAUCAAUAAAUUCCUUUACUAUCU
rnacentral:lncRNA from 1 species